GGAAGGGUCGUAGCUCAAGGGUACGGCAUCCACCUUGCAUGCAGAAGGUCCCGGGUUCAAUUCUCGGCUUCUCUA